CCUACGGGAGGCAGCAGUGGGGGAUAUUGCACAAUGGGGGGAACCCUGAUGCAGCGACGCCGCGUGUGGGAAGACGGUCCUCUGGAUUGUAAACCACUGUCCCCAGGGACGAAAAUGACGGUACCUGGGGAGGAAGCUCCGGCUAACUACGUGCCAGCAGCCGCGGUAAUACGUAGGGAGCGAGCGUUGUCCGGAAUUACUGGGUGAAAAGGGAGCGUAGGCGGGGAUGCAAGUUGGGUGUCAAAACUACCGGCUCAACUGGUAGUCGCACUCAAAACUGCAGCUCUUGAGUGAAGUAGAGGAAGGCGGAAUUCCUAGUGUAGCGGUGAAAUGCGUAGAUAUUAGGAGGAACACCAGUGGCGAAGGCGGCCUGCUGGACGACAACUGACGGUGAGGCGCGAAAGCGUGGGGAGCAAACAGGAUUAGAUACCCCAGUAGUC
rnacentral:rRNA from 1 species